GAUUAACGCUAGCGGCAGGCCUAAUACAUGCAAGUCGAACGGCAGCGGGUCCAGCAAUGGAUGCCGGCGAGUGGCGCACGGGUGCGUAACGCGUAUGCAAUCUACCUUUAACUGGGGGAUAGCCCCGAGAAAUCGGGAUUAAUACCCCAUAAUAUUGAGAAGGGACAUCUCUUUUCAAUUAAAGCUCCGGCGGUUUUAGAUGAGCAUGCGUGACAUUAGCUAGUUGGUGAGGUAACGGCUCACCAAGGCGACGAUGUCUAGGGGUUCUGAGAGGUACUUUUCCCCCACACUGGUACUGAGACACGGACCAGACUCCUACGGGAGCUG
rnacentral:rRNA from 1 species